rnacentral:piRNA from 1 species
UCUGGAAAUCCACUUGGGCACAACCC